AAUGAACGUUGGCGGCAUGGAUUAGGCAUGCAAGUCGAGCGAGAAGAGUUUUGAAGCUUGCUUUAGAACUCGGACAGCGGCGAAAGGGAGAGUAACGCGUAGUUAUGUGCCCUAGAGCCCGGAAUAGCCACGGGAAACUGUGGGUAAUGCCGGAUAAUAUCCCAGGAUCAAAGGUGUGAUUCCGCACUAGGAGCAGACUGCGUCCUACUAGCUAGUUGGUGGGGUAAUGGCCUACCAAGGCAACGAUGGGUAGCGGGUGUGAGAGCAUGACCCGCCUCACUGGGACUGAGACACUGCCCAGACACCUACGGGUGGCUGCAGUCGAGAAUCUUCGGCAAUGGGCGAAAGCCUGACCGAGCGAUGCCGCGUGCGGGAUGAAGGCCCUCGGGUUGUAAACCGCUGUCGUAGGGGAGGAAGGUUCCGUGAAGAGCGGAAUUUGACCUAUCCUAGGAGGAAGUACGGGCUAAGUUCGUGCCAGCCGCCGCGGUAA
rnacentral:rRNA from 1 species